rnacentral:rRNA from 1 species
GCUUACGGCCACACCCGGCCUGAGUACGCCUGAUCUCGUCCGAUCUCGGAAGCUAAGCAGGGUCGGGCCUGGUUAGUACUUGGAUGGAAGACCGCCUGGGAAUACCAGGUGCUGUAAGCU